CAGGAAAAGAAAGAAGCAGAGAUCAAAUAGCUAUGGAGAAAUCUCAAUUUCAAAGCAACUCUCAUGCCUGCCUUCUACCGUGAACCUGACCACCGCUCAGAAAAAACCAAGGUUUCUUCGGGUUCAAAAGCUAAUGUACUUAAUCAACAUAAAAGUUCUUUAUGAAGCUAGAGGAGAAAGU